rnacentral:rRNA from 1 species
AGUGAACGCUGGCGGUAGGCCUAACACAUGCCAGUCGAACGGCAGCACAGUAAGAGCUUGCUCUUACGGGUGGCGAGUGGCGGACGGGUGAGGAAUACAUCGGAAUCUACUUUUUCGUGGGGGAUAACGUAGGGAAACUUACGCUAAUACCGCAUACGACCUACGGGUGAAAGCAGGGGAUCUUCGGACCUUGCGCGAUUGAAUGAGCCGAUGUCGGAUUAGCUAGUUGGCGGGGUAAAGGCCCACCAAGGCGACGAUCCGUAGCUGGUCUGAGAGGAUGAUCAGCCACACUGGAACUGAGACACGGUCCAGACUCCUACGGGAGGCAGCAGUGGGGAAUAUUGGACAAUGGGCGCAAGCCUGAUCCAGCCAUGCCGCGUGGGUGAAGAAGGCCUUCGGGUUGUAAAGCCCUUUUGUUGGGAAAGAAAGGCAGCAGGUUAAUACCCCGCUGUUCUGACGGUACCCAAAGAAUAAGCACCGGCUAACUUCGUG